rnacentral:rRNA from 1 species
GUUCGAACGAUGAAUCCCUUCGGGGUGGAUUAGUGGCGAACGGGUGAGUAACACGUGGGCAAUCUGCCCUCCACUCUGGGACAAGCCCUGGAAACGGGGUCUAAUACCGGAUACGACCAUCGGCCGCAUGGCCUGGUGGUGGAAAGCUCCGGCGGUGGAGGAUGAGCCCGCGGCCUAUCAGCUGGUUGGUGAGGUGAUGGCUCACCAAGGCGACGACGGGUAGCCGGCCUGAGAGGGCGACCGGCCACACUGGGACUGAGACACGGCCCAGACUCCUACGGGAGGCAGCAGUGGGGAAUAUUGCACAAUGGGCGAAAGCCUGAUGCAGCGACGCCGCGUGAGGGAUGACGGCCUUCGGGUUGUAAACCUCUUUCAGCAGGGAAGAAGCGAAAGUGACGGUACCUGCAGAAGAAGCGCCGGCUAACUACGUGCCAGCAGCCGCGGUAAUACGUAGGGCGCAAGCGUUGUCCGGAAUUAUUGGGCGUAAAGAGCUCGUAGGCGGCUUGUCACGUCGGGUGUGAAAGCCCGGGGCUUAACCCCGGGUCUGCAUUCGAUACGGGCAGGCUAGAGUGUGGUAGGG